rnacentral:rRNA from 1 species
AGUGAACGCUGGCGGUAGGCCUAACACAUGCAAGUCGAACGGCAGCACAGUAAGAGCUUGCCCUUACGGGUGGCGAGUGGCGGACGGGUGAGGAAUACAUCGGAAUCUACUUUUUCGUGGGGGAUAACGUAGGGAAACUUACGCUAAUACCGCAUACGACCUACGGGUGAAAGCAGGGGAUCUUCGGACCUUGCGCGAUUGAAUGAGCCGAUGUCGGAUUAGCUAGUUGGCGGGGUAAAGGCCCACCAAGGCGACGAUGCGUAGCUGGUCUGAGAGGAUGAUCAGCCACACUGGAACUGAGACACGGUCCAGACUCCUACGGGAGGCAGCAGUGGGGAAUAUUGGACAAUGGGCGCAAGCCUGAUCCAGCCAUACCGCGUGAGUGAAGAAGGCCUUCGGGUUGUAAAACCCUUUUGUUGGGAAAGAAAAGCAGCAGGAUAAUACCCCGCUGUUCUGACGGUACCCAAAGAAUAAGCACCGGCUAACUUCGUG